CAUUUCUACUGAAAACCAGUCUCAGAUCAGAGCUUCUUAUUGCGGGGAAGCUCAAAAUGUUUCAAUCAAUUUGGUGUAGAUUAGGUGCAACACUGAAUAGGGCGGCUUCUUCCUCAACAUUGUCAGCACCAACAGCUAAGUAUCAUUAUCUCUUUACGGAAACUAGGGUUACUUCAAUCCUCUCUUCCUUCUCAACUGCUACUAGUAAUAACAGUAAUCUUACUUCUUCUGAUUUGAUUCAUCAUUUGUGGUUUCUUAUCUGAUUAAUUCAUGUGGAUUGUCACAAACUGAAGCUAUUAAAGCUUCUAAGAAACUCAAUUUCAAAACCACAAGGAAACCAGAUUCAGUAUUAACCCUACUUAAAACGUAUGGAUUUACUGAACCCGACAUUUCUAAAUUAAUCCCUAGAUGCCCAUCCAUCCUCUCAUGCGAUCCUCAUAAAACCCUUAAACCAAAACUAGAUUUUUUUCAAAUCCAAAGGACUUUAUGGAUCUGACCUCGCUAACUUCUUCUCAAUUGACCCGAGGAUCCUGAAGUACAGGUUCAAUAAAGUAGUAAUCCAAUCGUUUGAUAAACUUAAGAGCAUUGUUCAGUCUGACCAAAACGUAGUUAAAAUGUUGAAGCGAAAUUCUUGGAUUCUCAGUACAAACCAAGUUGAAAAAGUGAUGGUCAAUCUAGAGCAUUUGAGAACUCAAGGCGUCCCUGAAACUAAAAUAUCUGAUUAUCUGAUCAGGCAACCUAGAGUUUUUACUGAAGAUGCCAAUAAAUUUAGGAAGAUUGUAGAAAGGACUAAAGAAAUGGGUUUUAAUCCCUUAAAAACUACCUUUCUUGUGGCUAUACAUGGACUGACAUCAAUGACCGAAGCCAAUUGGAGAAAAAAAAAAGGAUGUCUACAAGAGAUGGGGUUGGUCUGAGGAUCAAAUUCAAUUAGCAUUUAGGAAGAAUCCUCGUUGUAUGACGGCCUCUGGAAAGAAGAUUAUGGCGGUUAUCAAUUUCCUUGUGAACGAAAUGGGUUAUGAUUCAUCAAGUGUUGCCCAAGUCCCAGGAGUUUUUAAUUGUAGUUUAAAGGAGAGGAUUAUCCCAAGGUGUUCUGUUAUCAAGAUUCUAGUCUCCAAGGGUCUGAUUAAGGAAAUGAUUCCAUUAAGUUCAGUUUCAGCAAUGGUAGACGAGGCAUUUCUGAAGAAGUUUGUAUCCAAGUAUGAGCACCAAGUUCCCGGACUGCUGAAGAUGUUCGAAUACCAUCAGCUACUUCAGAACUGAAAGAUUUUUACGAGAUGGAUGUGCUGUACCGGGUUCAUGAAUUUCGGUUGGGAAACUAAAGGGUGUCAAAUUCGGGCUGGGUAUUCCUCAGUAGAGAUAAAAGAAGCAUAUAAUGGUUCUGUGUUUUGUGUAGGAACAUGAUAGGAUAGGAAAUGGGAUAAACGAAAGAUUCACAAAGAUUUGCUGUAUGCUCAGUUAUGAUUUUUAUUUCAUUGUCAGUGUAUGGUCUAGCAAUCACUGAAUGGCCUUCGCUCAAUAAGCUUUCGUACUGCGACUAAGCUAUUUGCCGUCAGCCAGAGGUCCACCUCCUGCAACAUCAACAUAUUUGUCAUUGCUGCUCGGAGAACUGCGCGUCAUCGUGGACAGGCUGUUGCUAGAUUUGCCAAGGCAGACCAAGCAGAAAUCUGGUCAUCAUAGUUUUACUGGUUUAGUUUGUUUGAGUAUCUUGAGUAAUUUUUCUUUUGCCAACUUAAAUUAGCUUCGUUUUAAUAGGAUCUAAGUUGGGUUGGGAAGAUUUUUUGUAUUUCCUCUGUUCAUGGAUGUUUUUGUGAAGGUGCCUAACUGGUGUUUGUAAAUUUGACUAACCGAUGUUUGCCAGUGAUAUAGUUUAAUUUUAAAAUGAUCUGGUGUUGGAUUAUUUAGAUAACUUUGGCGCACAUGCACCCAAGAGGGGCUUCAUCUAUUUCAUGGUUUUUGUGUUCUAGGUAUUGCUGUAAUAUAAAACAUAAAUCGAGUUAGGUAAGUAUUGCUGUAUCAAUGUCCCAGACAUGUGGAAUGCAUAUGCCAUUUCUGAGGAGGUUGUGCUGUUAUGACUAAAGGAAGCUUAGUCCUAUUUAUACCUUUUUUAUGGGGAAGACUGUUCAGUUGGAGUACACUGAUGCGAAACAGAGUCUUCUGCAAGCUGCUCAGAAAGCUCCUGUUGGAGCCCUUGGCUUCGAAGUUCAACGCACAAAUGUGUCAUCAUAGUUCGAUUGCUAUUGAGGGAAAUACUAGAGAAAACUGUCUUCAAGCAAAAAGGCAUGGAAGCAGUUUUGAGGCCAUAAAUUGAGCUUGCAAAAGUGAGUCCGACUCUUCAAACUUGCAAGGCUGAAGGAUCUCAUGAGAUGACUGUGCAGUACCCGUAAGUACAUUAUCUGAAUUCACAUAUCUACAGCAUACAAAUCACGUUUUAGUUAUUCCCGAAACAACAAUUGUGUCACCUCUUAUGUAUGAACAGCAUGAAGAAUAUAUGUCAAGUCGUACUUGUUUGAAUAUAUGUCAUGGUAGUUUUUAUUACCAUGUUUAUUUACAACUGCUUUGUAGGAUACAUGAAUUUCGAUUGGGAAACUAAAAGGGUGUAAAACUCAGGCAGGGUGUUUCUCAAUAGUGAAUAGAGAUAGUUGAAGCAUAUAUUGGUUCUGCGUAUUUUGUGGCAACAUGAUUGGAUGAAUGAAAGCUUCACAAAGAUUCGUUGCAUGCGCUGUUAUGAUUUUUAUUUCAUUAUCAGUGUACGGUCUGGAUAUCCCUGAAUGGCCAGCUCAGUAAGCUAUUUGCAAUCAGCCAGAGUUCCAGGCCCUGCAUCAUCAACAUAAUUGUCAUUGCUGCUAGGAGAACUGGGUGUCUUCGUGGACAGGCUGUUGCUAACCUGUUCGUGAAUGUUCUGUGAAAGUGCCUAACUGGUGUUUCCUUUGUUCAUGAAUGUUCUUGUGAAAAUGCCUAACUGGUGUUUCCUCUAUUCAGGAAUGUAUUGGUGAAAGUGCCUAACAGGUGUUUGUUAAUUUGCUUAACUGGUGGUUGUGAAUGUUUGUGGUUCAAUAUAAGAAUGAUAUGGUGUUGAAUUAUUUAGAUAACUUUGAUCCACAUGCGUCCAAGAUGGGCUUGGUAUUUUUUUGUCGUAGCCUAUGCGCGAUGUGCAUCAGUGUAUUGGAUAUGUGGAAAUUUUGAAUGCAUAUGCCAUUUCUGAGGCGGGUUGCAUUGUCAGGUUAUUUAAUUGUACUUUCUUU